GACGAACGCUGGCGGCGUGCCUAAUACAUGCAAGUAGAACGCUGAAGAGAGGAGCUUGCUCUUCUUGGAUGAGUUGCGAACGGGUGAGUAACGCGUAGGUAACCUGCCUUGUAGCGGGGGAUAACUAUUGGAAACGAUAGCUAAUACCGCAUAACAAUGGAUGACACAUGUCAUUUAUUUGAAAGGGGCAAUUGCUCCACUACAAGAUGGACCUGCGUUGUAUUAGCUAGUAGGUGAGGUAACGGCUCACCUAGGCGACGAUACAUAGCCGACCUGAGAGGGUGAUCGGCCACACUGGGACUGAGACACGGCCCAGACUCCUACGGGAGGCAGCAGUAGGGAAUCUUCGGCAAUGGGGGCAGCCCUGACCGAGCAACGCCGCGUGAGUGAAGAAGGUUUUCGGAUCGUAAAGCUCUGUUGUAAGUCAAGAACGAGUGUGAGAGUGGAAAGUUCACACUG
rnacentral:rRNA from 1 species